rnacentral:rRNA from 1 species
CCAGACUCCUACGGGAGGCAGCAGUGGGGGAUAUUGCACAAUGGGGGGAACCCUGAUGCAGCGACGCCGCGUGGGUGAAGGAGUGCUUCGGCAUGUAAAGCCCUAUCGGCAGGGAAGAAGCAAGACGGUACCUGACUAAGAAGCCCCGGCUAACUACGUGCCAGCAGCCGCGGUAAUACGUAGGGGGCGAGCGUUGUCCGGAUUUACUGGGUGUAAAGGGCGUGUAGCCGGGAAGGCAAGUCAGAUGUGAAAUCCGGAGGCUCAACCUCCGAAUUGCAUUUGAAACUGUUUUUCUUGAGUACUGGAGAGGCAGACGGAAUUCCUUGUGUAGCGGUGAAAUGCGUAGAUAUAAGGAGGAACACCAGUGGCGAAGGCGGUCUGCUGGACAGCAACUGACGGUGAGGCGCGAAAGCGUGGGGAGCAAACAGGAUUAGAUACCCUGGUAC